rnacentral:rRNA from 1 species
CAAUAGCGUAUAUUAAAGUUGUUGCAGUUAGAACGCUCGUAGUCGGAUUUCGGGGCGUUCCGACCGGUCUGCCGAUGGGUAUGCACUGGCCGGAGUGUCCUUUUUGCCGGAGACCGUGCCUACUCUUAACUGAGCGGGGGCGGGAGACGGCACUUUUACUUUGAAAAAAUCAGAGUGUUUCAAGCAGGCAGCUCGCUCUUGCAUGGAUUAGCAUGGGAUAAUGAAAUAGGACUUUGGUGCUAUUUUGUUGGUUUCGAACACCGAAGUAAUGAUGAGAAGGGACAGUCAGGGGCACUCGUAUUCCGCAGAGAGAGGUGAAAUUCUCAGACCCGCGGAAGACGAACCACUGCGAAAGCAUUUGCCAGGGAUGUUUNCACUG